GCCCCCAUUUUGCCUCAUAGUGCGCAUGCUUGAGCCCACUUACCUAACACCUGAGAUCUUAUUGGGACGCUGCUGAUAACCAGUUUCAGAGACAGGGUUUUACCAUGUUGUACAGGCUAGUCUCCAACCCCUGGGCUUAAGCAAUCCUUCUGCCUCGGCCUCCCAAAGUGCUGGGAUUACAGAGAUGCUCAAGCACUGAAUUGUCUUAAGAAAACAAGUAAGGUUUUGUCACCUAUCCUAUUUCUCACUGCAAGUUGAAAAAAAUCAAAUCCAAACACCACCACCCC